rnacentral:rRNA from 1 species
AUGCAGCGGGUGCAAUCCGAGGCGGAUUAUGUUCUAGCAGGACAUGCCACAGUACAAGAGGCCUCACUAAGAAGCAUGCAAUACCUCAAGGUGGUUAUUAAAGAGACCUUGCGACUACACCCUCCUGCCUCGCUCUUUCCUAGAGUGUGUGUGCAAGACUGCAAGAUUCAAGGAUACGACUUACCACGGGGGACUACUAUGCUAACCAACACAUGGGCAAUCUCUAGGGACCCAAAGUAUUGGAAUGAGCCAGAAAAGUUUAUGCCAGAGAGAUUUGAAUGCGAUGGUGUCGCCGACUUCAGAGGUUUGGACUUCGAGUUCACUCCUUUCGGUGUUGGGCGGAGGGUUUGCCCUGGGAUUGAUUUUACAUAUGCAAAUAUUGAGAUUGCAUUGGCUAGCCUAAUUUACCAUUUUAACUGGGAGCUUCCUCCAAGAGUGGACCCAAGGGAAGUAGACAUGACAGAGGUGUUUGGAGCAACUGUUCAAAGGAAGGCUGAGCUAUUCCUGCGUCCCAUUCCUCGUGUCCCCCUCUAG